GCGGGCAGCACAGCAUAGCUCAACUUCUUCCAUCAUGGCGGACGGAAGUGGAUCGGCCAGCGGCGAAGUCAUUUUCAAAUGACUAUUGUUCUGGAAUUGGGGCUUGCGGACAAAGUAAAAGAAAUGGGAAAACUUAAAAAAAUAAAUACAAUGCUGAACAACAUCUCCCGCUCCCAUGCAGAUGUUGUGCAGAGUGACACAGGCAGCAAUCACCUCUGGCACAUACCUUGGGUUCACUUCUUGAGCAUGCAGGAAAAUUGACCUCUAUCUGGUCUUCAGCGUCCCAAAACCACGUUCAAUUAUAGAACGUGCCCUUGCAUGAUGCCUAUUGAAGGCCACCCUCUCCUCUCCUCUGACAGGCUUCUUGAAUGGAGUGAUGAGGGCUAUGGGCUGAGAGAUACAUGGGUACCCACCAUCACCAAGGAUCAUGUAGCCUCUGGGUGGGAAAGUGGCCUGCCGAUACAGAGUGCUGUAACAGAGCGCCCUUGCAUCACGUACUGAGCCAGGAAAGCAAAUAAAAACAUCAAGAAACUUUGCCUGGUGGUCACAGACAGCCUGAAAUUGCACAGAGGGGUAGAGCUUCCGAUUUCUGUAGCACUGUGCAUCAGGUUCUCCAGGGUCUUUGAUUUGCACAUGGCACCCAUCUAUGGCACCCACUACAGAGUGGAAAGCUGCAUGGAUUCCCAGCCUCACGAAGCCAUCAGAGAUGCUCUGCAGUUCUCCGGGUUUUGGGUGCCGGAUAACUUUCGGAAGGAUUCACCGCAUUUCAUUGGCCACUCUGUGAAUUACACGGUGCACUAUAGAACGGGGCAUAGAAAAAGCACGGGACACAACACAGUAUGAUGUGCCACAGGCCAACCAAAAAAGAAAAACCAAGACUUCAAUGGUCCCUCCCCAACCAUGGGUGCUCUCGUGCUGAAUAAGUUUAAAAA